GCAGCUGCCUGGAACCACGUCUCCUUUGGACCUGCCGGGGCUUCAGGACAACAGGGGGUUAUGUCCCCGCUGACAGGAGCCCAGUCUCCUCAGGACCCAACAGGAGGUGCUGCACUGAGGGAAGGUCAUGCACAGGAUCCAAGAUUUGCUGGCUACUGGUGUACUCCUCCCACAGUGCCUCUUAAUAACAAGUGGACUCCUACAAAUGCGAUGAGCAUCACAACUCUGGCUGACCUUGGUCUGGUGUUAAAACUGGAUUAUCUGCUUUGGAGGCAUUUGCAGGAGGUGGAUACUCAUUUCUUUUGUGCUGUUAAUUUCAGGUAAGUAGUAGUAUACGGGGAAGUGGAGGAUUCCAUUUCAUAGGCUAGUUGAUGUGUUUCAGUUACAUCUUCGUGGGAUUUGACCAUCAGGAGAGUGCUAGGUUGUUACAAGAAAAUAGGAUUAAGGAUUAGGAUCAGGGUCAAAACUAGGGGUAGGGUAGUGGAAUGGGUUAGGGUUUUGGGUCAGUGUGAGGGUACCGGUGAGAGUUAGGGAAAGGGUUAGGGUGUGGAUUAGGAUAGGAAAUAGGGCUAGAGUACAGGUUAGGAUAGGAGUUUGGGAACAGAUUAAGUUCAGGGUAUGGGUAAGGAUUGGGUUAGGGUACAACUUAGGUCAUGCAUUAGGGAACAGCAUAAGGUUAGUACUGGGCUAGAACCAGAGCAAGAAUCAGGGUUAGACUCAGGGUUAAGGGUUAGAGGGUUAGGGAUAGACUAAAGGAAAGGGUUACACUCAGGAAUAGACUCAAGGUUAGGGUUAGACUCAGGUUUAGACUCAGGGUUAGACUCAGGAUUAGGGUUAGGGGUAAGACUCAGGGUUAGACUCAGGGUUAGACUCAGGGUUAGACUCAGGGUUAGGGUUAGACUCAGGGUUAGACUCAGGGUUAGACUCAGGGUUAGACUCAGGAUUAGGGUUAGGGGUAAGACUCAGGGUUAGACUAAGGGUUAGACUCAGGGUUAGACUCAGGGUUAGGGUUAGACUCAGGGUUAGACUCAGGGUUAGACUCCGGGUUAGACUCAGGGUUAGGGUUAGACUCAGGGUUAGACUCAGGGUUAGACUCAGGGUUAGGGUUAGACUCAGGGUUAGACUCAGGGUUAGACUCAGGGUUAGGGUUAGACUCAGGGUUAGACUCAGGGUUAGGGUUAGACUCAGGGUUAGACUCAGGGUUAGACUCAGGGUUAGGGUUAGACUCAGGGUUAGACUCAGGGUUAGACUCAGGGUUAGGGUUAGACUCAGGGUUAGA